rnacentral:tRNA from 1 species
CCUAACGUUUUGGAAACGACAGACCUUGAACGUCUGUAACAGAUGUUCGAAUCA